ensembl:snRNA U2 U2 spliceosomal RNA
AUCGCUUCUCGGCCUUUUGGCUAAGAUCAAGUGUAAAGUUAUUGCAAUGUUUAAAAAAGUUAUUGUAGGGGCGCCUGGGUGGCGCAGUCGGUUAAGCGUCCGACUUCAGCCAGGUCACGAUCUCGCAGUCCGUGAGUUCGAGCCCCGC